UUAAAUAAAAGCUCAGCCAACUACUCAAACUAAACUUAAACAAACAAACCAUUUGACACAGUUAGUAAAGGAGAUUAAACAC
rnacentral:rRNA from 1 species